GGGUAUGUAUAUGUACUAAAUAAAGUAAAUGCCAGUAGUAGCAACAAUAAUAAUAAUACAACACAACAGGAGUGAGUCACUGAGUCCAGUACAAUGUUAUGUUAGCGGAGGAGAAAGCGAAUCGAAUCUGGUGAGUGCAUGCUAUUCAUUUCUGAAGAGAAGAAAUAGUUGCUGUGUUCAGUUUCCAUGGAUUCAUUGCUUGUUGGAACUUUUCCUAAGUCAUGCUCAUAUUCAUUCAUCACCACUACUAGUAUUGCAGGUGGGAAUCUGCGGCGGAGUAAACAUUGUACAACCAAUAAUUACUAUUCCAUUGCAAGUUCUUGUGCACCAAAAGCUUCAAGACACAAACGAAAAAUUCAAAAUGAGUGUAAUAUUUUGAGAUUCUGGCAGCCAAGUUUAAAUCAUUAUUGUGAAGGCGUUGAAGGACAGUCUAAAUAUCAAGAAUGCAAUAGAAAAUUUGCUGUGAAAGCAGCCCCUGAACAAUCUUUUGAAUCUGAAAAAAACAUUUUGGAUGUUGUCAAAAGCUCCCUGGAUGCUUUCUACAGGUUUUCCAGGCCACAUACGGUUAUUGGCACAGCAUUAAGCAUAAUUUCUGUGUCACUCCUUGCAGUAGACAAAUUACCAGAUAUAUCCCCAUUAUUUUUUACAGGUGUGUUGGAGGCUGUAGUAGCCGCCCUGUUUAUGAAUAUCUAUAUCGUAGGUUUGAAUCAGUUGUCCGAUGUUGAAAUAGACAAGAUAAACAAACCAUAUCUUCCAUUGGCAUCUGGAGAAUAUUCCAUUUCAACUGGUGCCAUUAUUGUUGUAUCUUCUGCGAUUCUGAGUUUUUGGCUUGGCUGGGUUGUAGGUUCACGGCCAUUGUUUUGGGCUCUUUUCAUCAGUUUUGUGCUAGGGACGGCUUAUUCAAUCAAUGUGCCCUGGUUGAGAUGGAAGAGAUUUGCAGUGCUCGCCGCGAUGUGCAUUCUUUCUGUUCGUGCAGUUAUAGUUCAACUUGCAUUUUUCCUUCAUAUUCAGACUUUUGUGUUCAAGAGGCCAGCUAUCUUUUCCAGACCACUGAUCUUUGCAACUGCAUUCAUGAGCUUCUUCUCUGUAGUUAUAGCAUUGUUCAAGGAUAUACCCGACAUUGAAGGAGAUAAAAUAUUUGGCAUCCAAUCUUUUUCAGUACGUUUAGGUCAAAAGCGGGUAUUCUGGAUUUGCGUUACCCUUCUUCAAUUGGCUUAUGGAGUUGCCCUUGUAGUGGGAGCAACAUCUUCUUGCCUAUGGAGUAAAGUUGUCACGGGUCUGGGACAUGCUAUACUUGCUUCAGUUCUUUUCUAUCGUGCCAAAUCUGUAGAUUUGAGAAGCAAAGCUUCCAUAACAUCCUUCUACAUGUUUAUCUGGAAGCUAUUUUACGCAGAGUACUUACUCAUUCCUUUAGUUAGAUGAGAAUGCAGCCGCAUUGUGAUUCGAGACCUAGUUUUACUUAAAUGGUGCUGCUUUUGUCACAAGCUAGCUUUCUGUUUUUACCUAUCCGUGGUUUUUUCCUGAUAGUCUCAUAUAUCUUCAUUAUCUUCUGCAUGCAUGAUGCAUACGAAUUGGACGGUUAUAUGCUAUUACGGUAUUACCCCAUA